UACGGAGGAUGCGAGCGUUAUCCGGAUUUACUGGGUGUAAAGGGAGCGUAGACGGCAUGGCAAGCCAGAUGUGAAAUACCGGGGCUCAACCCCGGGACUGCAUUUGGAACUGUUAAGCUGGAGUGUCGGAGAGGCAGGCGGAAUUCCUAGUGUAGCGGUGAAAUGCGUAGAUAUUAGGAGGAACACCAGUGGCGGAGGCGGCCUGCUGGACGAUAACUGACGUUGAGGCUCGAAAGCGUGGGGAGCAAACAGG
rnacentral:rRNA from 1 species